AACUGAAGAGUUUGAUCAUGGCUCAGAUUGAACGCUGGCGGCAGGCUUAACACAUGCAAGUCGAGCGGGGGAAGGUAGCUUGCUACCGGACCUAGCGGCGGACGGGUGAGUAAUGCUUAGGAAUCUGCCUAUUAGUGGGGGACAACAUCUCGAAAGGGAUGCUAAUACCGCAUACGUCCUACGGGAGAAAGCAGGGGAUCUUCGGACCUUGCG
rnacentral:rRNA from 1 species